GACGAACGCUGGCGGCGUGCCUAAUACAUGCAAGUCGAGCGAAGUUUUUCUGGUGCUUGCACUAGAAAAACUUAGCGGCGAACGGGUGAGUAACACGUAAAGAACCUGCCUCAUAGACUGGGACAACUAUUGGAAACGAUAGCUAAUACCGGAUAACAGUAUUUCUCGCAUGAGAGAUAUUUAAAAGUUGGUUAUGCUAACACUAUGAGAUGGCUUUGCGGUGCAUUAGCUAGUUGGUGGGGUAAAGGCCCACCAAGGCGACGAUGCAUAGCCGACCUGAGAGGGUGAUCGGCCACACUGGGACUGAGACACGGCCCAGACUCCUACGGGAGGCAGCAGUAGGGAAUCUUCCGCAAUGGGCGAAAGCCUGACGGAGCAACGCCGCGUGAGUGAAGAAGGAUUUCGGUUCGUAAAGCUCUGUUGUUAGGGAAGAAUGGAUAUGUAGUAACUAUACAUAUAAGAGACGGUACCUAACCAGAAAGCCACGGCUAACUACGUGCCAGCAGCCGCGGUAAUACGUAGGUGGCAAGCGUUGUCCGGAAUUAUUGGGCGUAAAGCGCGCGCAGGUGGUUUAAUAAGUCUGAUGUGAAAGCCCACGGCUCAACCGUGGAGGGUCAUUGGAAACUGUUAAACUUGAGUGCAGGAGAGAAAAGUGGAAUUCCUAGUGUAGCGGUGAAAUGCGUAGAGAUUAGGAGGAACACCAGUGGCGAAGGCGGCUUUUUGGCCUGUAACUGACACUGAGGCGCGAAAGCGUGGGGAGCAAACAGG
rnacentral:rRNA from 1 species